CUUGUCUGUGUGUGCUGGCAGUGAUUAGAUUUAGAGUAAAAUUGUUCCUAAUAAUAAAAGAUCAAUUACACAAUGUCAGAUUGUGGGGAUGCUGUAGAAACGUUUCAAACAUUAGACGAUUAUUCUUGCACAAUUAACGCAAACGAUAACGAUAAUAAUCAUUAUCACGAUCACACUUCUGUGGAUUUCCCCCAACAUGACCCAGACGUAUCGACAGAUCAUUACCACCAGUUUCAGGAGUACCACAACACCGGUUCGUCAUCCGUCUCCCCCGGUUGGAAAUUCGAGUGUUGCUGUUGGUUGUUCUGUUUUGUUUCGAUUUUGAUUUUGAGUUUUGCCAUUUACGGAAUAAAAUCUCUGUUCCGGUGA